UGGUAUUUAGUUUAAAACAAAAUAAAUGAUUUCGACUCAUUAGAUUGUGANUAAAUUCAUAAUUACCAA
rnacentral:tRNA from 1 species